GCUCCCUUUUUGUGUUUCCUCCAGAAGAGGACAGUCCAGUUUAUCUGCCCAGGAUUCCUCUUGGAAAGGAAUGCCAACUCGCAUUUUGCAUUAAGAAAUGGGAAAACCUUCCCGUCGGUCCUGGCGUAGCAC